UACGGAGGGUGCAAGCGUUAUCCGGAUUCACUGGGUUUAAAGGGUGCGUAGGUGGGCUAGUAAGUCCGUGGUGAAAUCUCCAAGCUUAACUUGGAAACUGCCGUGGGUACUAUUAGUCUUGAAUAUUGUGGAGGUAAGCGGAAUAUGUCAUGUAGCGGUGAAAUGCUAGAUAUGACAUAGAACACCGAUAGCGAAGGCAGCUUGCUACACAAUCAUUGACACUGAGGCACGAAAGCGUGGGGAUCAAACAGG
rnacentral:rRNA from 1 species